rnacentral:rRNA from 1 species
GACGAACGCUGGCGGCGUGCCUAACACAUGCAAGUCGAACGGAAAGGCCCUGCUUUUGUGGGGUGCUCGAGUGGCGAACGGGUGAGUAACACGUGAGUAACCUGCCCUUGACUUUGGGAUAACUUCAGGAAACUGGGGCUAAUACCGGAUAGGGGCUCCUGCUGCAUGGUGGGGGUUGGAAAGUUUCGGCGGUUGGGGAUGGACUCGCGGCUUAUCAGCUUGUUGGUGGGGUAGUGGCUUACCAAGGCUUUGACGGGUAGCCGGCCUGAGAGGGUGACCGGCCACAUGGGGACUGAGAUACGGCCCAGACUCCUACGGGAGGCAGAAGUGGGGAAUAUUGCACAAUGGGCGGAAGCCUGAUGCAGCAACGCCGCGUGCGGGAUGACGGCCUUCGGGUUGUAAACCGCUUUCGCCUGUGACGAAGCGUGAGUGACGGUAAUGGGUAAAGAAGCACCGGCUAACUACGUG